CAUAUACUCCCUCCGUCCCAAAAUUCUUGUAUUAGAUUUGUCUACAUACGGAUAUAUCUAGUUAUGUUUUAGUGUUAGAUACAUCCGUAACUAGACAAAUCUAAGAUAAGAAUUUUGGGAUGAAGGGAGUAUUUA
rnacentral:pre_miRNA from 1 species